CUCGUGAACCUGCAAAAAAAACUCUCUGGUGCGAAUCCCUAAAAAAAAAACUCUCUCUUGCGAACCCCCACCCCUCCCGGUCGAGCUCCUCACCGCCGCCACGAUCUCCUCACCGCCGCCACCACCCACGUCGUCCGGUUCUGGCGAGCUCCGGCCGCGCACAACACUCCCCCAGGCUCCCCAAGCCCCGCCCGUCCCUCCCCUCCGUCCAGAUCCGUGCCUCAAGGCCUGCACCCUUGCCCACGGUUAGGGUUUCGGGCGCCUCCCGUGUUCUUGCCGGAAUCCACCACAAUCGGCGAUGGCGAGGCCGGAGCUUGCGGGAUCCGUCAUCGGUGUUGCCCAGGUCACCAUGGCGCGGAGGCGGUCCCCCAGCCAGGUACGUGCGAGGCUGAGAGCAACCACCCGAUCUGCCCUGAGGCGCACCAGCUGUUCUGUACUUCUGUCUACACGAAGAAGUUAUCUCCUUUAGCAAAUUGGGCCUUGGGCUCCUUCUUCAUCUAGAACAACACUUAGGCUCUCAGUACGAUAAUCACUACGUUAAUUCGCUUGGCACACCAAUUUUGGUGCAGAACAGCCGGCGUGCUUGCUCUGCAUCGGAAUUCAGAAAGAAGCACUAAUGCAACAGUAGGGCCAGUUUGCAACUUGUGCAGCACAGAAUUGCAAAGCAGUCAGCCGUUCACCUAGGCUGCAUUGCUGUCUCCACGGAAUUGGUCCUUUCUCAUAUUUCCUUUUGCAGAUUUGCUUCGGAAAAACAACACUUGUGUAUUAUUUCAUGUCGACCUCUUACAAUCAUGUGAGCUCAAUCCCUGACCAUGAGAUGAGAAAACACGGCGUGUAGUUGCUUUAGUGCUUUACUGAACCUUCUGAAUAUCACAUGUUGUGAUUUGUUUGUUUCUGAAGCACUCUGCCAUUAUAUUCAGCAUAUGCUAAUAGUCCCUGUUGCUUUCGGCAUAUACAGUUUGUCUUAUACUUUAUAGCAACCCGAAUUAAGGAUUUUGUGUUCACCUCUGCGGUUCUUAAUAAUGGUCGGUAUUUAGUUUCUCUAGCGGAAGUCCGCCAUGCUGUAGUACUAGGAAUGAUUAUCCUGAUGUGAGAGUGUCUUUCUUGAUGGAAGCAACAUGUGAUACUUUAAUUAGUAUUUAAUUCAGAGAAGAUAUGUAUAGAAUUAAGCACCCUGCAAUUAAGGUAUAUAACUUCAUACUUACCGUGCUUGGAGAUUAAGGUUCCACAAGACUAAUUGAUCUGUUAAAUUGUUUUCAGUUUCGGUGUUCAAGGUGGAAACUUGAUGAAAACAAUAAUGUCUAUUUCAGUUUUUGGUGUGAAUAAGAAAGAAAAACCGCAGUUUGACCCUCAUUCAAAAUGUGAAAUUGGAGCAACAGCUAUCAGGAAGUUUGAACUGAAACCAAAAGGAAGGUAACCAUAUAUGUAGACUAUGCUACUUCGAUCUAAGUUUUGCUAAGUCCACCAUGUUUUAGUUUAUUCUUAGAAAUAUCGGGAUCACCCUCUGUUUCUAUUAUUUAUUAAAAUGAAAUUGUAAACAUUGUUCAUAGCGUCAUGACUCGGACAAACUAGAGUCCGUAUUGGAUAUUUUGUUUUUCCAAUAGCACAAGUCAAACAUGAAGUAGAAAAUUGGUCCACAAAAAAAAGUCAAACCUGCAGUAGCAUAAGUACUUUUGAUUACUAAUGGGUCAACGUAGAAAAUUGGUUUGAUAAUUCAGUUUUAGUACAAGUUCAAAUCCGCAUUCCAUAAUAUAUGUACUAAGAUACUUAGAGAAAUCAAUCUGUCAUGCAGAACUGCUCUAUUAUCCCUCCCGUGCUCUUCACCUCCGCCAUCCAUGUUCCAAGCAGGCCACACAUACCCCAAACCAAAAUCAAGGCAUGCUAGGAUGCUGCAUUGCUUAAUACUUAAUCGCCUAACUAUUAUUCAUGUGCUCAGUUAUGUUAGUAUACUUAUACAGCAGUUAACAAACAAAAGUAGUCUAGGAAUGUAUCUAUGUUUAGUUUUGACUCUAGGCAUCUCAAUUUGAGGUGUUGUUACCCAAAAAAAGAAGACUGAUAUUGGUUCACUGCCAUGGACGUAGUUUUUCCUUGAGUGUUUUCAUUUGUUGCUUCUCAGCAUCCAUUCUACUUUAUAGCUGAACUCUCUAUGAUUAAAAUCUUGGAGAUACAUUAUAGGCAUACUAAUUAGGUUCUUAAUAAUCAACUUAGGCUCCUGCGCUGAAAUAGGCCGAUUGGCUUGGGUCAAUGGAUUGCACCAUAGGGAAACACAGUAUAGCAAUGGCUCGGCUUUGCAGAAUACAUUGUGGAGCAAAUAAAAUUUGUACUCACUCUGUACUGGUGCAUAGGGCAUGCCGCAAGCUUUUAGGUUGGCAAUUUAUAUAUAUCAUGUGUGUCGAAAGUAUAUGUUAAGAAAUUCUUUAUAGUAAAGAUAUCACUGUGUGUAAAUUUUGAACUAUAUUAUAGUAACUGUUUGUGAAAUAAACACAAGGAACAUCUUUUGAGUACCGUCUUAGAAUAAACCAUGUUACCUACAAAAUAAGCACACCGAAUUGUUGGUGCAAAAUAUUAGACAAUAUCAAGCAGCUCUCUCUGAUAAAUGAUACUAAAUAUAUCAGAUUAAAACUUGGAAAAUAAAACAAAACAUGCCUCUACAUUCUAAUAUUUGUUCAUCAAAGAGAAAAAUGGAGUAAUACACAUGCUGUUUAUUCCAAUCCAGCCAAUAUAUAUUACAUAUUAAUUAGUCUAUAAACCAAGGGUAUGCUUUUUAAAAUGUGUAGUCCAAUGGUAUUUAGCAAACACUAGCCCGUGCAGGAGCACGGGUUGAUGACUAGUGUAGCAUAAUUAAUAUGCAGCCAGAGUCUAGUAUGAUAUCACAACCUUGAGUAAAGCAUUUGAAUUUACGCUAGUAGAUAUUGAUCUGUGAUCGAAGUGUGUGUGUUUAAUACCUCUAAAAUCAACAAUUGAUACUUCUUAGUGCAGCAUUGUAGCUUUAUUUUUACACGAUCAGAUUACCUUUGGUACAGUGGUAAAUGUAUCAUCUUAAGAGUGUACUGAAGCUAUAUUACUUCGUAGCUUGAAUUUUAGGCUUUCUCCAUGGUUAAUAUAAGUUAUGUAAAGCAAUGUUUACCUAGAAGUGCAACUGUAGUGCCAUUCUUAUCUUUUAAUGUACGACGACGGUGCCGCUGCACUUGUGCUAGUCAGUGGGGAGAAAGCUAAGAACCUUGGUCUUCAAGUUCUUGCAAGUACCAGAGGGUGUGGUGAUGCUACUCAGGUAAAUCUUACAUUCCUUGUCAUUAAUCAGUGUUGGUGAGACAAAUGUCACUUGAGAAAUCUCAGCCCAUUGUUCUUAUUAAUGAAUAUUGUUACCAACAUUAUCCUUUUCCCAUGUCGCAAAACUGUCAACCUGACUCAUAUAAUGAUCUUUUUCUUUAGGAUUCAUGGUUUUUUUCCUUUUUCUUGUUAUUAUGCAUCACUAUGAGUUCAUUGUAUUAAGAUUCCUUACAACUUCAGGCACCUGGUCUAUUUACAGAAGGGGGGGACCCAGCCUUCUUCACAUCUCGCGGCAGUGUCUUCCUUUGAUUUGUUCAUGUAACAAGGAGGGGACCCGGCCUUCUUCACGUCUCGUGCAACAUGGGUGAUCAACGCUGACUACUGCAGCCUGGUGGGCGUUGUGCUCCUAAACCACUCGGAGGUGGAUUUCGCCGUGAAGCCCUGCGACCACGUCACACGGAUGAUUGUCCAUGUGAUCGCGACGCCGGAGGUCGCCGAGGUGGAGGAUCUCGAUGCCAUCAUUCGGGGUGAGGGAGGAUUCGGGUCCUCGAGCGUUUGAACUCCGAGCCUUGGUAGAUACAUGUAGAGAAGUCAUCUAUUUAGGCUGGUGGUGGAACACUAGGGAAGAUACCCACCUUUGGUUGUGUGCGUUUAAUUUAUUUUGCACUGGACGUGUCUCUGAUUUCUAUCUAUAAAUUAUGCAUCUAAU